UACGAAGGGGGCGAGCGUUGUUCGGAUUUACUGGGCGUAAAGGGCGCGCAGGCGGCUAUCCAAGUCAGGCGUGAAAGCCCCGGGCUUAACCUGGGAGGUGCGUCUGGGACUGGGUGGCUAGAGUUCGGUAGGGGAGACUGGAAUUCCUGGUGUAGCGGUGAAAUGCGCAGAUAUCAGGAGGAACACCGGUGGCGAAGGCGGGUCUCUGGGCCGAUACUGACGCUGAGGAGCGAAAGCGUGGGGAGCGAACAGG
rnacentral:rRNA from 1 species